GCCAAUCAGUGGUUUGCUAGGUUGUGAACAGGUUGAAGGUUUCAUGGCAAUGUUGAGAGGCUCACAUUUAAGUGGUAGGCAGCAAGGCAUAUCGAAAGAAACGAGACAACUAGCAUGGGAAUGAUAGUAAUGGUAUCUGGGAAAUGAUCAUCUUUCCUGAGAUCCCGCUUGGAAGAAGAAUGACUCCGUGAGGCAGACGAACCGACGUAGUCGAACGGGUACUGACUUUCUGACACGCUUGCGGAACUCUAUCGAGAUGAAGCAAACCGGAAAUAAGAAUCAACACACGAUAUUCACCAUGCGAUGCACAAUACAAAUGAUGCAUGAGCGGUUACAUUUAUGCACGGUAUGACAUGGCAACUCACACAAUCAAACACUACACAUUAAGUG
rnacentral:lncRNA from 1 species